CCUAAUGAUAUUGAUUGCGUGUAGUGCUCACACAGAUUGUCUGAUGAAAUGAAAGAGAGCAUAAGGCUUAAUCUUCCCGGUUAAGUCUUAAAGCAUCUUGUCGGGUCUGUAGCUCAGGUGGUUAGAGCGCACCCCUGAUAAGGGUGAGGUCGGUGGUUCAAGUCCACUCAGACCCACCAAUUCUCUCCUAUCCUGCGUUGUCGCCCUAUUCGUUUAUGUGAAUAAACGUCGUAGGACUUCGCUUUGACUAGAAGCGAAUUGGCGAAGGUAGUAGAUAAGAUGUAAAAAUGCUUUUCUGAUAUGGGGCUAUAGCUCAGCUGGGAGAGCGCCUGCCUUGCACGCAGGAGGUCAGCGGUUCGAUCCCGCUUAGCUCCACCAUAUCAAAAAAUCUUAAAACUGAUUCGCAAGAAUCACGUUUAAGAUUUUGCUCUUUAACAAUCUGGAACAAGCUGAAAAUUGAAACAUGACAGCUGAAACUUACUCCUCCGUAGAAGUACUGGAGUAAGGAGUACCCUGUCAUAGAGUCUCUCAAAUGUAGCAGCACGAAAGUGGAAACACCUUCGGGUUGUGA
rnacentral:misc_RNA from 1 species